AGUAGUUUGAUCCUGGCUCAGAACGAACGCUGGCGGCAGGGCCUCAAACAUGCAAGUCUAGGGGGUGUAGCAAUACAUCACCGGCGGACGGGUGCGUAACGCGUGGGAAUAUACCUAUCGAUUCGGAACAACUGAGGGAAACUUCAGCUAAUACCGAAUACGUCCUAACGGAGAAAGAUUUAUCGUCGAUAGAUUAGCCCGCGUUCGAUUAGCUAGUUGGUGGGGUAACGGCCACCAAGGCGACGAUCGAUAGCUGUUCUGAGAGGAAGAUCAGCCACACUGGGACUGAGACACGGCCCAGACUCCUACGGGAGGCAGCAGUUGGGAAUCUUGGACAAUGGGGAAACCCUGAUCCAGCCAUGCCGCGUGAGUGAUGAAGGCCUUCGGGUUGUAAAACUCUUUCGCGCACGACGAUAAUGACGGUAGUGCGAGAAGAAGCUCCGGCUAACUUCGUG
rnacentral:rRNA from 1 species